UGCAGUGGGUACGGGCAGACUAGAGUGCGGUAGGGGAGAUUGGAAUUCCUGGUGUAGCGGUGGAAUGCGCAGAUAUCAGGAGGAACACCGAUGGCGAAGGCAGAUCUCUGGGCCGUANACUGACGCUGAGGAGCGAAAGCAUGGGGAGCGAACAGGAUUAGAUACCCUGGUAGUCCAUNGCCGUAAACGUUGGGCGCUAGAUGUAGGGACCAUUCCACGGUUUCUGUGUCNGCAGCUAACGCAUUAAGCGCCCCGCCUGGGGAGUACGGCCGCAAGGCUAAAACUCAAAGGAAUUGACGGGGGCCCGCACAAGCGGCGGAGCAUGCGGAUUAAUUCGAUGCAACGCGAAGAACCUUACCAAGGCUUGACAUAUACCGGAAACNGCCAGAAAUGGUNGCCCCGCAAGGUCGGUAUACAGGUGGUGCAUGGUUGUCGUCAGCUCGUGUCGUGAGAUGUUGGGUUAAGUCCCGCAACGAGCGCAACCCUCGUUCUAUGUUGCCAGCACGUAAUGGUGGGAACUCAUAGGAGACUGCCGGGGUCAACUCGGAGGAAGGUGGGGAUGACGUCAAAUCAUCAUGCCCCUUAUGUCUUGGGCUUCACGCAUGCUACAAUGGCCGGUACAAAAGGGCUGCGAUACCGUAAGGUGGAGCGAAUCCCAAAAAGCCGGUCUCAGUUCGGAUUGAGGUCUGCAACUCGACCUCAUGAAGUCGGAGUCGCUAGUAAUCGCAGAUCAGCAACGCUGCGGUGAAUACGUUCCCGGGCCUUGUACACACCGCCCGUCAAGUCAUGAAAGUC
rnacentral:rRNA from 1 species